CGGCAUUUCUUUUCUGUGAAACUAAUGUACUGUUAAUAAACAUUGUACAUUAUCUACUAUUAAAUACUAGUUUUUGAAUGAUUAGCAGCGGGGGGAAAAAGAUUAUGGUAGGUUCUUUAUUCACACACUGUACUUGUAAAUUAUUUUUCUGGUUCACACAUCUCUAUUUUUAGGGGCAAAGGCGAGUGGAAUACUUCAACUGUUGAGCCCUUUCUUUUCAUCCAGUUGAUUCUGUGGAGGUGAAACAGUCUCCAGGACAAUGAUGUUGAUAAACGUUGUAAAUCCGUUAGUAGAAGUUACACAGAUGGGAUUUUACUGUCAUCCAUGGAUGACAGCAACAGCAACAGUCUGGCAGCAACAGCUCUCACUAUGUAGAAAAGGUUUUCCUUUUCACUCAUCAGGAGGGCAGUGACUGAAGGAACACCAGCAGUUUCUCUGAGAGCACAUGUACUCCAUGGGUAAAACGUUAGUAUCAAGCCCUGAAAGAGCGAGGCUGGCAAGACCAAAGGUUCAGCUCCAAACGCCGCAUCUCCCCCUCCCCCCAUCCCACUUCGCAGGGGUUGUGGGUUGCCAUCUGCCCAGGUCAGGUUUUUCUCUGCUGGGCUUGCUC